UCAAGUUAACAAGGGCACACGGUGGAUGCCUUGGCACAAGCAGGCGAUGAAGGACGUGGUAAGCUGCGAUAAGCCUCGGGUAGGUGCAAACAACCUUCGAUCCGGGGAUUUCCGAAUGGGGCAACCCGCGGCGGGUAAUGCUGCCGUAUCCUUACGCUGAAUCCAUAGGCGUUUGGAAGCCAACUCGGGGAACUGAACCAUCUCAGUACCCGAAGGAACAGAAAUCAACCGAGAUUCCCCCAGUAGCGGCGAGCGAACGGGGAACAGCCUAAACCGGCCACUCCGCAAGGGGCGACCGGGGUCGUGGGACGGGUCACACGGAGUUACAAAUCUUUUCUAUAGCCGAAUCUUCUGGAAUGUUGAGCCAAAGAAGGUGAAAGCCCUGUACGCGAAAUGGAAAAGACUCCGACCCUGUUCCCGAGUACCACGGAGCACGUGAAACUCUGUGGGAAUCUAGGGGGACCACCCUCUAAGGCUAAAUACUCGCUUGUGACCGAUAGUGAACUAGUACCGUGAGGGAAAGGUGAGAAGAACCCCAGGUGGGGAGUAGCAGAACCUGAAACCGUGUGCUUACAAACAGUCGGAGCUUCGACCUUGCCCUCGGGCAUGGAAUGAGGUGACGGCGUGCCUUUUGCAUAAUGAGCCGGCGAGUUACUGGUACGUGGCAAGGUUAAGUCGCUCAGCGACGAAGCCGCAGCGAAAGCGAGUCCGAACAGGGCGUUGAGUCACGUGCCGUAGACCCGAAGCCAGGUGAUCUAUCCAUGGCCAGGUUGAAACCCCGGUAAGACGGGGUGGAGGACCGAACGGCAAAGUGUUGAAAAACUUUCCGAUGAGCUGUGGAUAGGGGUGAAAGGCUAAUCAAACCUGGAGAUAGCUGGUUCUCCCCGAAAUGCCUUUAGGGGCAGCCUCGCGUUAAGCUGUACGGGGGUAGAGCACUGGAUGGGCACGGGGUCCUACAAGACUACCAACCCCAACCAAACUCCGAAUACCGUUCAUGUGUUUCGCGGGAGUGAGGCUGCGAGGGAUAAGCUUCGUAGCCGUGAGGGAAACAACCCAGACCAUCAGCUAAGGCCCCAAAGUCAAUGCUAAGUGGCUAAGGAUGUGGGAUCGUUUUGACAGCCAGGAUGUUGGCUUAGAAGCAGCCAUACAUUUAAAGAGUGCGUAAUUGCUCACUGGUCUACAUGGCCCCGCGCCGAUAAUACUUGGGACUAAGCAUUGCGCCGAAGCUAUGGGAUGCUCGCAAGAGCAUCGGUAGGGGAGCGUUCUGUGCUGGGCGAAGGUAUCCCGUGAGGGGUGCUGGACGGCACAGAAGUGAUCAUGCCGGCAUGAGUAGCGAUAACGCAAGUGAGAACCUUGCGCACCGAAAGUCUAAGGUUUCCCGGGGAAGGCCAGUCCGCCCGGGGUUAGUCGGUCCCUAAGCCGAGGCCGAGAGGCGUAGGCGAUGGAAAGCAGGUAAAAUAUUCCUGCACUUGGAAACGGGCGACAAAGAAUCGUGAGGGGGGACGCAGAGGUGAAAGGUCAGCCACCGAUUGGAAAUGGUGGUCGAAGCCUGUAGGAGGACCGGGUAGGCAAAUCCGUCCGGUCUUAACUCUGAAGGGUGAUAGGGAAGUGAGCCUUCGGGCAAGCCAACUGACCCUAAACGUGCUGCCAAGAAAAGCCUCGCACGAGAGUUCGUUUUCAAACCGUACCGCAAACCGACACAGGUAGACGGGGAGAGAAUCCUAAGGUGCACGAGUGAUGCGCGGUCAAGGAACUCGGCCAAUUGUCUCCGUAACUUCGGGAGAAGGAGAGCCUGCGCAAGCAGGCCGCAGAGAAUCGGCCCUGGCGACUGUUUACCAAAAACACAGGUCUCUGCGAACACGUAAGUGGACGUAUAGGGACUGACACCUGCCCGGUGCUGGGAUGUUAAGGGGUGGUGUUAGCGCAAGCGAAGCACUAAACCGAAGCACCAGUAAACGGCGGCCGUAACUAUAACGGUCCUAAGGUAGCGAAAUUCCUUGUC
rnacentral:rRNA from 1 species